rnacentral:rRNA from 1 species
GCGACUAAGCGUACACGGUGGAUGCCCUGGCAGUCAGAGGCGAUGAAGGACGUGCUAAUCUGCGAUAAGCGUCGGUGAGGUGAUAUGAACCGUUAUAACCGGCGAUUUCCGAAUGGGGAAACCCAGUGUGUUUCGACACACUAUCAUUAACUGAAUCCAUAGGUUAAUGAGGCGAACCGGGGGAACUGAAACAUCUAAGUACCCCGAGGAAAAGAAAUCAACCGAGAUUCCCCCAGUAGCGGCGAGCGAACGGGGAGGAGCCCAGAGCCUGAAUCAGUGUGUGUGUUAGUGGAAGCGUCUGGAAAGGCGCGCGAUACAGGGUGACAGCCCCGUACACAAAAAUGCACAUAUUGUGAGCUCGAUGAGUAGGGCGGGACACGUGGUAUCCUGUCUGAAUAUGGGGGGACCAUCCUCCAAGGCUAAAUACUCCUGACUGACCGAUAGUGAACCAGUACCGUGAGGGAAAGGCGAAAAGAACCCCGGCGAGGGGAGUGAAAAAGAACCUGAAACCGUGUACGUACAAGCAGUGGGAGCCUCUUAAUGGGGUGACUGCGUACCUUUUGUAUAAUGGGUCAGCGACUUAUAUUCUGUAGCAAGGUUAACCGAAUAGGGGAGCCGAAGGGAAACCGAGUCUUAACUGGGCGUUAAGUUGCAGGGUAUAGACCCGAAACCCGGUGAUCUAGCCAUGGGCAGGUUGAAGGUUGGGUAACACUAACUGGAGGACCGAACCGACUAAUGUUGAAAAAUUAGCGGAUGACUUGUGGCUGGGGGUGAAAGGCCAAUCAAACCGGGAGAUAGCUGGUUCUCCCCGAAAGCUAUUUAGGUAGCGCCUCGUGAAUUCAUCUCCGGGGGUAGAGCACUGUUUCGGCAAGGGGGUCAUCCCGACUUACCAACCCGAUGCAAACUGCGAAUACCGGAGAAUGUUAUCACGGGAGACACACGGCGGGUGCUAACGUCCGUCGUGAAGAGGGAAACAACCCAGACCGCCAGCUAAGGUCCCAAAGUCAUGGUUAAGUGGGAAACGAUGUGGGAAGGCCCAGACAGCCAGGAUGUUGGCUUAGAAGCAGCCAUCAUUUAAAGAAAGCGUAAUAGCUCACUGGUCGAGUCGGCCUGCGCGGAAGAUGUAACGGGGCUAAACCAUGCACCGAAGCUGCGGCAGCGACACUAUGUGUUGUUGGGUAGGGGAGCGUUCUGUAAGCCUGUGAAGGUGGCCUGUGAGGGUUGCUGGAGGUAUCAGAAGUGCGAAUGCUGACAUAAGUAACGAUAAAGCGGGUGAAAAGCCCGCUCGCCGGAAGACCAAGGGUUCCUGUCCAACGUUAAUCGGGGCAGGGUGAGUCGACCCCUAAGGCGAGGCCGAAAGGCGUAGUCGAUGGGAAACAGGUUAAUAUUCCUGUACUUGGUGUUACUGCGAAGGGGGGACGGAGAAGGCUAUGUUGGCCGGGCGACGGUUGUCCCGGUUUAAGCGUGUAGGCUGAUUUUCCAGGCAAAUCCGGAAAAUCAAGGCUGAGGCGUGAUGACGAGGCACUACGGUGCUGAAGCAACAAAUGCCCUGCUUCCAGGAAAAGCCUCUAAGCAUCAGGUAACAUCAAAUCGUACCCCAAACCGACACAGGUGGUCAGGUAGAGAA